rfam:Triticum urartu cultivar G1812 contig605473, whole genome shotgun sequence.
CUUGUACUCCCUCCGUCCCAAAAUUCUUGUCUUAGAUUCAUCUAGAUACGAAUGUAUCUAAUACUAAAACGUGGCUUGAUACAUCCAUAUUUAGACAAAUCUAAGACAAGAAAUUUGAGACAGAGGGAGUAGUGU